rnacentral:rRNA from 1 species
AGAGUUUGAUCCUGGCUCAGAACGAACGCUGGCGGCGUGCCUAACACAUGCAAGUCGAACGGUAACAGGGACUUCGGUCCGCUGACGAGUGGCGCACGGGUGAGUAACGCGUAGAUAAUCUACCUCGGUGUCUGGGAUAACAUUUCGAAAGGGGUGCUAAUACCGGAUACGUUAUAGAUGUAGCAAUGCAAUUAUAGUAAAGGUGGCCUCUUUUAAGCUACCGCAUCGAGAUGAGUCUGCGUACCAUUAGCUAGUUGGUGGGGUAAUGGCCUACCAAGGCGACGAUGGUUAGCGGGUCUGAGAGGAUGAUCCGCCACACUGGAACUGGAACACGGACCAGACUCCUACGGGAGGCAGCAGUGAGGAAUAUUGCGCAAUGGGGGCAACCCUGACGCAGCGACGCCGCGUGGGUGAGGAAGGUUUUAGGAUCGUAAAGCCCUGUCAGGUGGGAAGAAAUGCGUAUAAGUUAAUACCUUAUACGUUUGACGUACCACCAAAGAAGCACCGCUAACU